UACGGAGGAUCCAAGCGUUAUCCGGAUUUAUUGGGUUUAAAGGGUGCGUAGGCGGCCCUGUAAGUCAGUGGUGAAAUACUGCAGCUUAACUGUAGCAUUGCCAUUGAUACUGUAGGGCUUGAGUACAGAUGAGGUAGGCGGAAUUGAUGGUGUAGCGGUGAAAUGCAUAGAUACCAUCAAGAACACCGAUUGCGAAGGCAGCUUACUAAGCUGUAACUGACGCUGAGGCACGAAAAGCGUGGGGGAUCGAACAGG
rnacentral:rRNA from 1 species